GUGCCAGCGCUGCGUUAUUUGGUUGGUGCCUGCGGACGGGCCCGCGGGCUUUUCGCCGGUGGCUCCCCUGGGGCGUGCGGGUUCGCGUCUGGGAGGCCAAGACCGCUGUGUGGAGGUAGCCGCAGCGCCAGCACCAGAAGAAACAGUUUGUGUGAAGGCUGUAAGGCUUGGAGAGGUUUUGGCUAUUUUGACGACUAGAAGGUGGGCCAUAUGAGUGUGACUGAAGUUUAGUGGAAGACAUAUGGUGUGGAAUGACCCAGAAGGACUACAUCACAGCAAGCUCAUUUGAUAUAGUCAUCGUUGGUGGCGGAAUUGUGGGGCUUGCCUCUGCCAGAGCACUCAUCCUGCGACAUCCAUCACUUUCUAUUGGUGUUCUGGAAAAGGAGAAAGAUUUAGCUGUUCACCAGACUGGACAUAACAGUGGUGUCAUACAUAGUGGAAUUUAUUAUAAACCUGAGUCUCUGAAAGCCAAAUUAUGUGUACAAGGUGCAGCCCUCCUCUAUGAGUACUGUCAGCAAAAGGGAAUUUCCUACAAGCAGUGUGGCAAG
rnacentral:lncRNA from 1 species